rnacentral:rRNA from 1 species
AUUGAACGCUGGCGGCAUGCCUUACACAUGCAAGUCGAACGGCAGCACGGGUGCUUGCACCUGGUGGCGAGUGGCGAACGGGUGAGUAAUACAUCGGAACAUGUUCUGUAGUGGGGGAUAGCCCGGCGAAAGCCGGAUUAAUACCGCAUACGAUCUACGGAUGAAAGCGGGGGACCUUCGGGCCUCGCGCUAUAGGGUUGGCCGAUGGCUGAUUAGCUAGUUGGUGGGGUAAAGGCCUACCAAGGCGACGAUCAGUAGCUGGUCUGAGAGGACGACCAGCCACACUGGGACUGAGACACGGCCCAGACUCCUACGGGAGGCAGCAGUGGGGAAUUUUGGACAAUGGGCGAAAGCCUGAUCCAGCAAUGCCGCGUGUGUGAAGAAGGCCUUCGGGUUGUAAAGCACUUUUGUCCGGAAAGAAAUCCUUGGCCCUAAUACGGUCGGGGGAUGACGGUACCGGAAGAAUAAGCACCGGCUAACUACGUG